rnacentral:lncRNA from 1 species
ACCUGGUGCCAGCGAUGUGGGACCCAGAGACUUCAGCAUGCGCCACGCUUGUGUAAAAGUAGUAGGGAGUGUGUAGAUACUGGUGGCUUCUUCUAUACGCAAAGUCUGUCGUGUUGCUUGACCUGUAAAUUGCCUUGCCUCCCCCAAAAUGGAAAAGAACAAAAAAAAAUAAUAAAGUGGAGAGUGUUAUAAAGUUAAGGACAUAGGAAUUGGCACGGGAAAUGAUUAUGAAUGUGUAUGGAUUGACGAUGAUGAUGGGUGUGGAAUAAAUAAAG